rnacentral:rRNA from 1 species
UACGGGGGAUGCAAGUGUUAUCCGGAAUAAUUGGGCGUAAAGCGUCUGUAGGUGGUUGACCAAGUCUGUUGUUAAAAAUCAGGGCUUAACCCUGAUCCGGCAACAGAAACUAGUAAACUUGAGUACGGUAGGGGCAGAGGGAAUUCUCGGUGUAGUGGUGAAAUACGUAGAUAUCGAGAAGAACACCAAUAGCGAAAGCACUCUGCUGGCCGAAACUGACAUUGAGAGACGAAAGCUAGGGGAGCAAAAGGG